GGGCGGGGCCGGGGCGGGGGCAGCGGCGCUCCGGCCGCUCCCCUGAGCCGCUCCCGCCGCCGCCCGGAGCAGCCCCGAGCCGCUCAGCCCGGCUGCCUUCAGCGCCGCUCCCCCGAGCGAGGUGCUGCCCUGGACAGGUGUUGCCCGGGCAGCCUCGGCCCUGCAGGAAGCACCUCGCCUGCAAGAGAAGGCUGAGAAAAGUACAAUUGAAGAGCAUGGAGCAUUCUGACGUGUGUAACUCUUUGUAUCAAAGGAAGCCUUACAUGACACAAUUUGGAUGAUGUCUGGACUUAAACCCAUUAUCAGAAAAAGAUAAUGAUGCUGUUGUGAGAGCCAAAUGAAGGGACAACACAUAAUAUCAUACACAAGAAAAUCAGAGGAGAUCUUGAAUGAGCAAAGAGGACGUACAUGAUGGAGUUAUUUACCAGGCUCAGCAUCUCUGUCCGGCUGUGAACAAAGCUGUCAUAGUGGUAAACACUGUCAGAUAGAUUUCCUGCCUCCUUUUUUAAUAUGUGAAAGCAAAAGGUAAGAAGGGUGUACUCAAGGUGUUUUCCUGGCACUGCUACAGUGCCUGGAGGGCAAAGGCUAUUCCUCCUCCCCUGCGCCACCAAGCAAUCCAUGUUCCAGCACCAGAGGGAAGAGCAGGGUAUGAAACAAGCAAAACAGUGUCACACAGAACGUGGAGGAGUGAGUAAAGAGGGCUGCCUUCUGCUUGUGAGGUUUUUAGUAUAUAGUGGAGACUGGUGUGAAACAUAUCUAUGGAAGACAGGUGAGAGGGGAACUUGGUGCUUCUGAGAGGUCCCAUGGCCAAGGAGGUUUUGUGAGAGCUUUUUUUCAGGGAGUUUCAAAACAGGUGAUGAUGAUGUGCAGUACUGGGCCAAUUCCCACCAGAUGCAAAAUAACUUCUGUGUGAGAAUAUACUGGAGCUAUAAGGAACCUCAGCCCCUGCAGUUUACAGCUGUCAAUCUGCUCCUGCUGCUCUGAAUGACUUGCUAAAGUAAGCACAGCCUCUGCUGUCUUAUUCACUGAGCACAGACACAUCAAGUACGUGCAAUACACAAUAAUUUUCCAGGAAAAUAUAUUCCAUAGCACUCUGAAAGUAAAAAUACUCUAUUUAAAUGAGAUUCACAGCAGCAUGUUUUAUUGACUUUGAGAGACAGAUUCAGAAAAAGAGGAUUACCAAGCUGAGACUAAUAGCUACGUUCAACAUACUUAUGCUAGUUUACAUUGUAAACAAGAAUUCCACAGACCCAGCAGAAAAGUACCUGGGGGUGUUGGUUGACAUCCAGAUGAAUGUGAGCCAGCAGUGUUCCCAGGUGGCCAAGAAAGCCAAUGGCAUCCUGGCCUGUAAAAGAAAUAGUGUGGCCAGCAGGAGCAGGGCAGUGAUUGUCCCCCUGUACUCGGCACCUCAAGUUCUGUAUUUAGUCUUUGCCCCCCCACUGCAAGAAAGACAUUGAGGUGCUGGAGCAUGUCCAGAGAAAGGCAACAAAGCUUCUGGAGGGUCUGGAGCAGAACUCCUAUGAGGAGCAGAUGAAGAAGCUGGGAGUUUAGGCUGGAGAAGAGAAGGCUCAGGCAGGACCUUAUUGCUCUCUACAAUCCCCUGAAAGGAGAGUGCAGCCAGGUGGAGGUCAGCCUCUUCUCCCAGGCCCAGCAACAGGGCAAGAGAAAAUGGCCUCAAGCUGCACCAAUGGAGGUUCAGGGUGGACAUCAGGAAGAAUUCUGUCACUGAAAAGGCUGUCAAGCAUUGAUACAAUCUAUUGCUCCUGGUGCUGGAGUCACCAUCCCUGGAAGCGUUUAAGAAAUGACUGGAUGUGGCAGUAAGUGCUAUGGAUUACUUACAUGGUGGUGUUUGGCCACAGGUUGAUCUUGAAGGUCUUUUCCAACAUUAAUGACUCUUACUUAAUGAUCAUUCCAUAUUUAAACAUGCCUUGUUUUAUUGGACAGUGCCACCUAGGGGGUAAUGGCUUUUAAACUAGAGUGGCAAAGGAGAGGGAGCUUUAAUAAUAACAUAGAAAAGAAUUUCUUCCAUUAAAUUCUCUUUUGGAAUAUACUAGGCAGACAAACUGAUGCUGAGAUUUUCAUACAAUGGAAUAUGACAAAAAACUGUAAUUUUUACAGGUCCCUUUGGAGCUGCCCAUACUCUUUUCUCUCUUUCCAUUGAGAGAAAUCUCUUCUGGCAGUGAUUGGGGAUGCCACAAAUCCCGAUUUUCUCCUCUGCUAGCCGGGUCUUGCUGGUAUGAUCAGUGGAGAGGUUAUCUACAUCUCAUUACAGCUGUAAGGCUGGCUAGGAGAUUGCUGCAUUGCUGUGUUUGGGUUUCCAAGGACUUGAAAUAGAGCCUUGAAAAGUUUGCUUUUUGAGGCCAAAAGCAGAGAGAAAACUCUGGUCUACUUCUGCUUAAUCUAGUCUGCUAAAGGAAGGUAGUGUGCAAGGCAGGAAUGAGAUGCUGAGACUACUCUGUCUGACAGCAGAUAGGUUUUAUCCUGACACUUCCCCCACUGUCCUUGAAAGUACAAGUUGGCUCCUUUGGACUUCUAACAAUUUAACCUAGAAAUGGACAAAAUAAACUUAGAAAAAAUGCCCAUCUCUGUACCAUGUUUAUUUUCUUCAGAAUUAGAUUUGUUUUAAAAGCCUGAAUUGUGGUAAUUUCUUUCCUGAAAAACAAAAUUCCAGGACAGGUAAUAUUUUAGGAGUGGGUGUUUUUUUUCCCACACACUUUUUUUAUACUCACAAAUGGUAUUUGAUUUUAUUCUGUAUCUUCCACAGCAGAUGGCGUGCCUGCCUCCCUGAGACCAGAGAUCCCAAGCAGCAUGCAAAUGAUACAAGAAACUCGUAUAACAUAGAAACAAUAGUAUAAUAUAAGAAACAAUUAUGCAAGGAACCUGCUCCUCUUUCCUUAGAGAAAAGUAGUGAUGCUUCCACAAUAUUUUUGAAGGAAAAAUGUCAACAUUUUUGAUAGCAUGACUGUGUGUUUGAAUUGUAACAAAGGGCAGGUCUCUUUCUUUCCUUCAGUAACCUCCACACACAUAAGCAAUUGAGUAUUAAUAAGAAGAGAUUUUAUUUCUUGUAAGUUCCUUUUUAAAAUAAUCCAUUCUAAAAAAAAAAAAGGCCAGCUGAUAAAAGUUGCUUUUCU